CCACUAUAUAUAUAUAUAUAUAUUUGUGUGUGUGUUUGUGUGUGUGUGUGUGUGUGUGUGUGUGUGUAUAUAUGUGUAUGUGUAUAAAGACACAAGGCUGUGAUCACACCAUAGCUCAAAUGAUUGCCACAUGAAUGUUUGUUUGCUGUGGUUGUGGAUGUGGUUGCUCUGGUCUCACUGGGUUUAUAGGCAUCAUUGGUAAAUUAUGGUAAUCUAACAAGAAAAGCUCAGUGGUUGGUAAAGUAAAGGUGGACUACAGCCCUUUAAAGUCUGACUUUUAUAAAUGUUUAUUAAAAUAAAGGUUUAAAUGCCUAAAAUGACAAAUUUAUAGUAUCUGCCGAUACAAAGUCCCGGUCCGAUACUUUUGCAUUUUUUGAUAUCUGUUUAAUUAUUUUUAAAACAGCAGUAUCAAAACAUACCAGUUGUCUGCCAAAAACAGAACAAAAAUGUCUUAAAUCAAAUAUGAAGCAGAAUUCUUUAUCAGAAGCUGACAAAAAACACUAAAUAAAAUAAUGUAAACAUACAGGUAAAAAGCCCAGUGAUUUCACCAGGGGAAGUCAGCUCCUAUACAGCAUUAGCUCUAUUAUUUGCAUUUACAUUUGUUUUAUCAUUGUACUCUUCCUUACUGCCACUCUCCUGAAUUGCUGCAGUGUAUUGGAGGAUUUGUGCUGAGUACUUAUUGUUUUAAGGUCAUAUCGCCACCUGAGAAACAAUAUUACAAUAUUUCGUGGUAUUUUCAUGAUAAUGAUACGAGAUGAGAAAACAUUAAAUUAAAAAAUAUAUAUAUAUAUAUUUCAAGAAUACACUACUGCAACAAAAUGAAAAUUACAUUUUAUCAUUGCAUUUGAUAUGAUAUGGCACAUCCCUAACUGAGAUAUUAAAAAAUACAAAAAAAUAUAUUAGAUUUGUAACAGAAGUCAAUGAUCCAGAAUGUCAUGAUACUACUAAUAAUAGUGAACUCCAUAUAUCUCCAUAUAUCCAGGAUUAAAGUCAAAUAAAUGAUACUGGACAGAUAUAAUCUUUCUCUAGUAGAUAUAUAAUGUGAAUUGAGAACAGUGUACAUUUUUCUUUUGUUAAAAACAGUAAAAAAAAAAAAAAAAAAAAAAAAAAAAAGUAGUAGCCUGAUGUGAUAAUGGGUAUCGGAUCAUUUCAGAAAAUCAUGUGAACAACCCUGAAUUCAGAUCAGAUUCAGAAGUGAUCAAGUUACUGACUUCCCUGUUAUUUAGUGUAAACUGGCAUGAGUAAACUGUACUGUAUUAUUUAGUUUUUACACUAAAAAUGGCUGCUACUUUUACACUAAAAGUUACGCAGUCUAAUAAGAAAUAAUAGAUGCAAAGAAAAAUAUUUAAGUUAAAGUAUUAUUCACCAAAAACCAGCAGGAUCGAUUCAUUUUCACAUAUUUCACUUCACAGUUCUGUAUAUUGCAUGUCUGUCUGAUGGAACAGCUCCUGGGCACUGUGUCUUGGAAACUAAGCAGACUAAGUGUGAACAUAACAAAUGUAACCCAGGGUGAGUCAGAUAUGUUCCAGCAGUGGAGCUUACGCACUUGUGAGGUCAGAAACAGUGAGGCAGAUUUUAGUCACUGCACCAUGUGAGAUUGCAGCUCUUUACUUCUUAAACUAGUGAAAUAUAGAAAACUUUUUACUUAAAAUCCAGUUUAUUUGUGAAGAAUGUAAACUAUAUGUUGCUCUGUUCUACUUUGAGCACUUAGAAAUUGUAUUCUGUCCUGUUUGUUCGGUUUAAGAACUUUUAGCUGCAGUUUUAUCUUCAGUUUUCAUCUUCAGAAUUGUAUUAUGCACCAGAAUUAUCUAUAAAGAGAUUUAAUAGAUCCUGACUAACUUUAGCUCUAAGAUGAUAUAUGUAUAUAGGUAUAUGUAGAGAGGUUUUUAGUAGAAGUUUUUUUGGACAAUAAAUCAUCCCAGAAUUUUAUUAUUGUCAUUUUUGAACAAUAAUUUAAGAACAUUUUUAGGGUUUUGUGCCAAUAAUAUAAGAUUUGUAUAAUAGCAUAAUAAUGCAGCAAAUACGUUUUUGAAUAAUUAAGAAUUUUCAAAGUUUGAAAUUGGGAUGUAACUUUUUUAAAAAUCCUGAAAAAAAUGCAAAACAUGAAUGAAAAAUAGAUUACAGCUCUUCAUAAACUAGUGAAAUAUAGAAUACUUUUACUUAGAAUACAGUUUAUUUGUGAAGAAUGUAAACUAUAUGUUGCUCUGAUCUACUUUGGGCACUCAGAAAUGUGUUCUUUAUUUGUGGAUUUGGAGUUUAAUAAUUGUAUUUUAUCUUGUUGGUUUGGUUUAAACACUUUAAGCUGUAGUUUUACCUUCAGUUUUCAGCUUCAGAAUUUUAUUAUGCACCAGAAUUAUAUAUAUAAAGAGAUUUGGUAGAUCCUGACGAACUUUAGCUCUAAGCUGACAGAAGUUAUAUUCUCUUUUUAUACACUUGUUUUGUCCCAGAAUAUAUUGAGACAAACUAUAUUAUUGUAAUUUUAAAACAAGAGUUUUUUUUUAGUAAAAAGAUUCUUUUUUAGUAACUUUUUUAUGGUUUUGUGCCACUUAAAUAAUAAUUAUAUAUUAUCAUAAUAAUGCAGCAAAUACUUUUUUAAAUAAUUAAGAAUUGACAGAGUUUGAACUUGGGAUGUAACUUUUUUACAAACCCUGAAAAAAUGAAUAAAAACAUGAAUAAAAAAGUAAAACUACUCUUUAAACAAGUCAAGAUCCUGUCUUACUCAUAUUAAUGGCAUAUAAAAAUAUUGUGACGGGCCUACACAAAGAAGCAUCAGAUUUGUUCCUAAAAUUAGCAAAAAAUCAUUCAGUGAAACUUCCUUAAAUCAGCAAGUUCUUUUCUAACACUUCUCAUGUUUUCAAACCUCUAUUUUUAUUUUCUUUUUUUUCCGGAACUAAAAGAGCUUCUUCUUUUUCAUCACUUAAUCUCUUAAAUAAUCGCUUAUUUAUUCAAUUUUUAGUCAUAAUGCAGAAACUGUACGGUAACAGUAACAAUUUAAGCUGUUUUAGCAAACAAUCUUGUGGAGUCCCACAAGGCUCUAUUCUGGGGCCUAUAAAAUUGAUAUAAAUUCCAAGAGUCCAAGGGGUUAAAUAAUUAUUUUAAGGACCCUUAUUUAUUACAGUGUAUGAAAAGGUACUUUAGCUGAUACUUUUGCUACAUCCAGUUGAGGCAUUAUGACAUUAAAGCAGCAAUAUCUUACAUUUUAUCUUAUGUGGUUUAAGGAUACUGUACUGUAUUAUAUAUUUCAGGAAAUACAGGAAGUUAAGUUGAACUAAAGGUCAAGAGAUGACGUUAAAAGGCAGGUUGAUUUAUAAUAAUACAAAGCAACCAUGUCAUAUAAAAACUUCAUAAUGACUUUUUUUAAUAUUUGUUUACAAAUAUAUGUAAUAUGUCAACAAUUAGAAAAAAGAAAAAGACCCAUGUUUCUCAGGCAGAUUUAAGCAAUGCUGUGACAACUGCACAAAUUUAUGCAAUACGGGAAAGCCUGAACAGGAAGGAACGACGUGAAUCACACUUGUUUCUGGUCAUUUCCUCUGUCAGAGUUGGUGGUUUGAGUCAUUUUACUUCAUCCAUCGCUCUUCUAUGCAUUGUGUAGGUCUGUAUGUGUAGUAUGAGGAAGCCUGUUGGGUGUAGCAUUGAUGGAGAUUAGUGCUAAAAAUAAAAAGUGCACUUAAGACACAACAACAGAUUACUUUGUUUUAAGCCCUAUCCAGAUGGGUUUAGUUUCUCAGGGGGUCCCGGGGUAAUUUUCUCUUUUAUAGGGGGUCCUCUGUGAUUUUAUUCCUGUCCAAAACAACCAUGUUUGUGUUUUUUUUUUAGACAUUCUCUGAGAAAAUUACAGGCUAAAUUAACUACUGUUUUUCACUAAACACUGGUCCUCCGGUAAUUUUAGUUACGUCCGGACGCACAUCACUGAGUUUAGUCUCCUCACGUUAAAUAAAAUAGCUUUUGGUGCACAAGCACGCACCGUAAUUAAACUUUGGGUGCACGUUUCCACGGAGAUCCGUGUAAACACAACAGCGAGUGGAAAUGGAGGAGCUACUGAACGCGAUGUCACGUAAUCGAGA